CCAGCCAACAGGAUGCCUCUCUUGGAAGCUGUCAUCUUCUCUUCCCUCUGGGCUUUUGGCAUUGGGCAGUUAAAUUUGGAACAACCUGAAAUAUCAUUUUCCAGCACAAGAUUUCAGACUGCCCAGAUAUCUUGUAAGGUGUUCUCUGCUAACUUUCGCAAUGAUUACAUACACUGGUACCGACAGAAACCUGGCCAGAAUAUAGAACAUCUAAUGUAUGUCCAAUCUACAACAAAACCUGUUCAGAAACAAGUAGAUGCGCAAAUCAAGCUUGAAGCAAGUAAAGACAUUUCUACUUCUACUUCAACCUUGAAAAUUGAUUUCUUAGAAAAAGAAGAUGAAGGCAUGUAUUAUUGUGCCUGCUGGACCUUGGGCCACACUACCCUGAAAGUGUUUGGCCCAAGAACAAAGAUUAUUAUUACAGACAGAAGCCUUGAAGAAGAUUUUCCACCCAAGCCCACAGUUUUUUUUCCUUCAAUUGCUGAAGUAAACCUACAUAAGGCUGGAACAUAUCUUUGCCUUCUGGAGAAUUUUUCCCCUGAUGUUAUUAAGAUAGAUUGGAAAGAAAAGAAUGGUGAUAAAAUUCUGGAAUCACAGGUGGGAAAUACCACCAAGACUGGAGAUACAUACAUGAAGUUCAGCUGGCUGACGGUGCCUGAAAAGUCAAUGGAUAAAGACCACGUUUGUGUUGUCAAACACAAGUCUAACAAAGGAGGUGUUGAUCAAGAGAUUGAUUUUCCUUCAAUAAAGAAAGUCAAGGAGAAUUUUUCGAACACCUACACUGAGACAACCACCGUGCUAGGAACUCUGACUCCAACAGGAAAAGAAGAUGGUCUUGAGUACACCGCUCCCGCUGUGGUAACAGAUGAAAACAGGCCACUGCAGCUACAGUUCAUCCACACAUCUGCCUAUUACACCUAUGUCCUCCUCCUUCUCAAGAGCAUGGUCUACUUUGUCAUCAUCACUUUCAGCGUGCUCAGGAGAAAAGGAGCCUGUGGCAAUGGGAAGAGUCCCUAA